rnacentral:rRNA from 1 species
GAUGAACGCUAGCGGCAGGCCUAACACAUGCAAGUCGAGGGGCAGCACAUAAAGUGGUUUACUACUUUUGGUGGCGACCGGCGGACGGGUGCGUAACGCGUAUGCAACCUGCCUCCAACAGGGGGAUAACGGAGAGAAAUUUCCACUAAUACCCCAUAAUAUCAGAAUCGGCAUCGGUUUUGGUUGAAAACUCCGGUGGUUGGAGAUGGGCAUGCGUUGUAUUAGAUAGUUGGUGAGGUAACGGCUCACCAGGUCAACGAUACAUAGGGGUACUGAGAGGUUAGCCCCACACACUGGUACUGAGACACGGACCAGACUCCUACGGGAGGCAGCAGUGAGGAAUAUUGGUCAAUGGGGGCAACCCUGAACCAGCCAUGCCGCGUGCAGGAAGACGGCUCUAUGAGUUGUAAACUGCUUUUACAAGGGGAUAAAUCGGUGUACGUGUACACCGUUGAAGGUACCUUGGGAAUAAGGAUCGGCUAACUCCGUGCCAGCAGCCGCCGUAA